UAGCACAGAGAAAGGAAGCUGCCCAUACCUUAGAGAAUAAAUCCUUCACCUACCAGAUUUUCACUGUAAACCUGAACUUCUAAAUACUCAAAAGUUAGGAAAUGGAAAAGUAUAAACUUCAUAUGGAGUAAUGGAGAUACAGAGAAAAAUCAGUAACUUGCCUAAGGUCACAUACCAGAUCAGCUACAGAGCUGAGGGUGGAACUCAGGUCUUUUAAAAUGUAUGUAUUUUCAGAAACAUUCAGCAAUUGUUAUUGAAGCAGUUGGAGCAAAGACUUACACCCUUAAGUUCCAUCUACUUCUAUCUGCUCUGUUAAUAAACCUUUAGUUAGUUAAUUACAGGACUGGCUAUAGGUGUCUUUGGUGUGAGAUCUAACAUACAAACCGGUCUGGGGGUAAUGAAAUGUACAAGAAUCUCACCCACUCAGAAGGCUGAGGCAAACAGCAUGUUCCUACCUCUUUCCUUUGGAUAUUGCUGAUGCCACACAGUGGCUGAUGAUGAUUUCAACAUAUGCCAGCCAAGAGAUGCAGAGUAUACCAAGCAGCUGCCAUUCCUAUGAUCGUGAAGAGCCAAGAUGAAACAGGCUCUAACCUUGAGGAGAAGAGACAGAGACAUGGAGGUCUUGCUGGAAGAAGGUGAACAAAAUAAUUGCAAUAGUCACUCACAUGGGGAGGGUGACCAGGAUACUCAGAGAGGAAUUGGGACAGGAAUGUUUCCUGCUCAAGUACCAAACAAGAUACUAGGGCAGAAAUUUGUGAUGAGGCAGAAAGAACCUAAAUUGGAUGGCAAGGUGAAUGGGGAAACUCACCUGAUACAGUUUGAAAUAGCAAGUGAGCUGAACUGCUGCUCAGAGGAAGAGAAGAGGAAGUAUUUAGCUAUGAGACUGACUGGGAAAACCUUGCCAAUUCUUCCCUCCAUCAGUGAAGAUGGAUUUGCAAUUACCCUGCUAUCAGGUCUGGGAUGGAGAAAGAGCAGAGGUGGCUUGCAUCCAGUUCUAGACAC